ensembl:lncRNA
AUUUGAGUUGUCUUAACUUAGAAAAACUAAGUAAGCUGGAAGUUUUGCUUCUCAGGGCGGAAGGAUGAAAGAUGUGUUUUGAAAAUGCCGCGUCACUACCGUCCUCCUCCCUCCCGGAUCAGUCCGCAUGUUCACGGUGCAUUUUUUAUGGAAUAUGUUGAGCAAACCUGGAGAAGCGUCAGCUCAAGAUAUUAUUGUUGUCAUUGCUGUGGAUUUUUACCUGAUACACUGACUUUGCUCGGGACCAGCACUCCUGUUGUUGGACACAAAGACAUCAACUCAGUGACUUGAGAUAUGACUGCACUAUGCUGUUGCUGGUGACCACAGUUAAUUCUACAAGACAUGCUGUGUAAGUAAACAAACAACAACAGUUUGGUCUGCAUUUCUUGAAAGAUCACAUCCCCCAAACUUAGUUUAGAGGGUCUACACUGUAUAUAGUGAAGUCUGCAAGUUUUCUAACAGCAAAAUCUGUUUUGUGCCCAAAAUCAUUUUGCACAUCAUUAGAAUGAAAGUUAUUGGCCAUGUUUGCAUAGCCCUUUUUAAAAUGAUGCUUUCAUGACAUUAUUGUGUGUUGGGUGGUGGUCAGGGUUAUCCAGACUGACAAUUUGGGACAUUGAAUGUCACCUCUCCGGUGGG